rnacentral:rRNA from 1 species
GACGUCAAAUCAUCAUGCCCCUUAUGACCUGGGCUACACACGUGCUACAAUGAAAUGGUACAAAGGGCAUCGAAGCCGCGAGGUGUAGCAAAUCCCAUAAAACCAUUCUCUUUUUUGAUUGCAGGCUGCAACUCGCCUGCAUGAAGCCGGAAUCGCUAGUAAUCGCGGAUCAGCAGGCCG